UCUAAUAUGGCAGAAUAGUGCAUUGGACUUAAACCCCAAAUAUAAAAAUAAUUUUUUAUUAGAA
rnacentral:tRNA from 1 species